UACGAAGGGGGCUAGCGUUGUUCGGAUUUACUGGGCGUAAAGCGCACGUAGGCGGAUCGUUAAGUCAGGGGUGAAAUCCUGGAGCUCAACUCCAGAACUGCCUUUGAUACUGGCGAUCUUGAGUCCGGAAGAGGUGAGUGGAACUGCGAGUGUAGAGGUGAAAUUCGUAGAUAUUCGCAAGAACACCAGUGGCGAAGGCGGCUCACUGGCCCGAUACUGACGCUGAGGUGCGAAAGCGUGGGGAGCAAACAGG
rnacentral:rRNA from 1 species